CUAACACAUGCAAGUCGAACGAAGACCUUCGGGUCUAGUGGCGCACGGGUGCGUAACGCGUGGGAAUCUGCCCUUCGGUUGGGAAUAACACAGAGAAAUUUGUGCUAAUACCUUAUAAUGUCUUCGGACCAAAGAUUUAUCGCCGAGGGAUGAGCCCGCGUAGGAUUAGGUAGUUGGUGGGGUAAUGGCCUACCAAGCCGACGAUCCUUAGCUGGUCUGAGAGGAUGAUCAGCCACACUGGGACUGAGACACGGCCCAGACUCCUACGGGAGGCAGCAGUGGGGAAUAUUGGACAAUGGGCGAAAGCCUGAUCCAGCAAUGCCGCGUGAGUGAUGAAGGCCUUAGGGUUGUAAAGCUCUUUUACCAGGGAUGAUAAUGACAGUACCUGGAGAAUAAGCUCCGGCUAACUCCGUGCCAGCAGCCGCGGUAAUACGGAGGGAGCUAGCGUUGUUCGGAAUUACUGGGCGUAAAGCGCGCGUAGGCGGUUACUCAAGUCAGAGGUGAAAGCCCGGGGCUCAACCCCGGAACUGCCUUUGAAACUAGGUAACUAGAAUCUUGGAGAGGUCAGUGGAAUUCCGAGUGUAGAGGUGAAAUUCGUAGAUAUUCGGAAGAACACCAGUGGCGAAGGCGACUGACUGGACAAGUAUUGACGCUGAGGUGCGAAAGCGUAGGGAGCAAACAGG
rnacentral:rRNA from 1 species